ACUUUCUUUUUGUUUUGUCCUCGAGGUAUACUGGUUGCUUUCUUCAAGAAUAAAAAACAGCAAAAUAUCAGUCGUUGGCUUUAUGGUGUACAGAUGCCUGUUUUGCCAGGACAAAGGGAACAUUGCAUGCCCAUGUUAUUUCCAACACAUUCAGAGUUCCUGUUUGCUUCCAGUUAUCCUCCAGCACUGCAGAGAUAGGUUGAUACUUUGGAUGUGCCUGAACCUUCCUUUUCGACAAGAAGUUAUCUUGAAAAUCACAUCUUCCAAAGGCCUUGCUGUGGGGGAAAUCCAGGAUGUCCCCAGUGAGGAGUGCCGUGGGCUGUCUCAGCUGCAGGUUGCACCCACGGUGCUGCUGGUGCAGGUGGACUCACCAGGCUGCUUCCACAAUAGCCAGGAUGCAGAAUCCAGCUGCAUUGCCUGGGGAUACAAGCUGAGCAUGCAGCUAGCUCAUGAAAUCCUUCUUUCCCUGUGCUACAUCCUAAAACUAUGGUGCUGUGGGACAGCUUACAGAAUAGUAGAGACAGAGUAAAGUUAGAAGUAUCAACUCUGAAUCCAACCUGGAGCAGAUGUGGAGUGUGAUCUGAACCACAAACUUGAGUGUAGUCAGAGAAAUGAUGUCUUUGGUCUGUUCACUGUAUUUUUUUUUUUUCCAAAGUGGUGUCACAUCAGCUCUGGAGACAGUAGCUGAAGCAUCUGAGAAGUCAGUUCAACACUCUUGAGAAAUCUAUGUUAACACUUUUGAGAGGUGUUGCUGUGAACAGGAUAAAAUUGAAAUGGCGACAAAUUACCCGACGCUGCUGUAGGAACCAAUGCUCCAGGCAUCUUGACAGUCCUUGCAGACUCCCUAAAUGCUCCAUAAAUAUAUUAAUUUCUGGAAUUGGUUGUACCAUAUGUGAUGUG
rnacentral:lncRNA from 7 species